CUUUACUGUAGCUUUACAUUGGACUUUGAACAGAUCUGUGUAGGAUAGGUGGGAGGCUUUGAAGCGGUGCCGCUAGGUAUCGUGGAGCCAACGUUGAAAUACCACCCUGGUGUGUUUGAGGUUCUAACCUUGGCCCGUUAUCCGGGUUGGGGACAGUGUAUGGUAGGCAGUUUGACUGGGGCGGUCUCCUCCCAAAGCGUAACGGAGGAGUUCGAAGGUACGCUAGGCACGGUCGGAAAUCGUGCUCAUAGUGCAUAGGCAUAAGCGUGCUUGACUGCGAGACUGACAAGUCGAGCAGGUACGAAAGUAGGACUAAGUGAUCCGGUGGUUCUGUAUGGAAGGGCCAUCGCUCAACGGAUAAAAGGUA
rnacentral:rRNA from 1 species